UCUGUCGGUCUUCCUCCACCUAUCCGCCCUGCUUCAUUCUCUCAGCUUCUCUUCUGCUGCGUGGUGUUGAUUGUUGCAUUUCUUCUGUUUAUUUUCCCUCUUUCUGGUUCUUAUAUUUUUUUCCCCUUUUUCCUACUCUGCCUUCAUUUUCAGUGUUGUUGGUAGUUUUGACGGACCCCUUUUCUUCAUCGUAAUCCUUCUUUCCUGGAUUCACUCGCCUGCUCUUUGCUAUGCUGGUCGUCGUUCCAGGGCCUUUGGCCCUUCUGUUGGUGUUCAUUCCAGGCCAUCCUGCUUUGUCUGUUCAUCCUAUAUGUCGUAGUGCUCGACGAAGUGGUCAUGAUCAUUAUAGGCAUCAUGUGCGCGCUGGUUUACUGAAGGCCGGCCAACUGCAUUCUUUAGUACAGAGCAACAGAUACAUUAUCCGUGCACAGAUCAAGUAUAUAGUUCCUAAUCAAUCAUGGUGGUAUUUGGCUUGUGAGAAAUGCAAUAGAACACUGCAGCCACAUGGAGAGAAAUAUAAAUGCGUUGGCCCUACAUGUUCUGGAACAGGAGGACCUAGGUACAGCCUCCCUAUUAUUGCCACCGAUCUUGUGGCACCGAGAGAGCAACAAAAUGAAAGAACUAUACAACUUGUGUUCUUUGGAUCCAUAGCACAAGAAAUAAUUGACACCCCAGUUGGUACUCUCAUUGCUGCUAAUGAAGGCGUGGGAAUUUUCCUCCCAACAAAAAUUACUGCCAUCUAUGGAAAACAAUAUGAGCUCCGUGUAAGCAUUUCCUCAAUGUCAUUACAGCAUAUCAACAUCACCUAUCAAGUUGAUGCUAUUAUAGGCAUGGGUAGCAUUCCUGCAUCUACACCACCUCACUUGCAUCUCGCACUUGAAGGACAACCUUCUCAUCAAUCAGCAACAGAAAGCCAGCAACUCCACUCUACUGAUAAAUCUACACUCAUCACUGGCACUGCACCAAAUGGUUCUGGGUCUACACCACCUGAAUGCAAUAAGGACAUCAGCUCGGCAUUACCUCAUAUAGAUAUAUCAGGUACAGAAAAUACUAAGUUUGAGAUCCAUGCAAGGACAAAGGCUCCUGAAUCAUCUGAAAGCAAUCUGUUGUCAACUCCGGCCUCAGUUGAAGACUUAGAAAAAGCUCAGGUAUAUCUCAUAACAUCAUAUCUACUAUAUUGCAUAGAAAAUCAAAUACCUUUUGAUUAUGUAAUACAACAAGAUUAUACUUGCCUUUCCCCAUGCAUCUUGCUGACCCAAAGACAAAAAAGAACAAAUGUUCGAUUGAUGAGGCAUCUCAUAGCCAUGGUAAAAAUGAUCCAAGGUAUGUUACAUAUACAAGCACUUCAAAUUUGUCAUAUACUAUACUACAAUUUCUACUUAAUAAUGCAUUCCAAAUGAACAUUUCAAUAAUUUUCAUGUUUGUUAAUGUGUAACACACCAUGCCUUCCUAUAUAUUCGUUACAGUGAUAUUCAGAUGACGGCUAGAGCUCACCAAUCCAGAUGAACAAGACUAGGGUAGCCUUGCAGUAGAGAAGGACAUCCUAUUUUGACAGUGGACCUAACGCAACUACGCCAGCACAUGCUACUGUGCCUGCCAAUUUGCGAUGGUCCACAUACCUCUACCGUGUGUAAAUUAAAUAGUAGGUAGAGAAUCAGAACUACUAUGGAAUCCUUAGCAACCAAGCAGUGUCAUCCCUGACGCCGCCCAACUAGACCAUCCAACGAAAGGAAGGGAGGCCGCACCCUCCUAGGAAAUGCAUUUAUGCAGGUGUUAGACAUGUGUAUUAUAGCUUCCAAACAGCUGCUAUAUGUAAAUUAAUCAGUACUACGUGAGCUUGUCAAAUAUUAUGCCGUCUGAGCUUGCCAAACAUUAUGCCGUCUGUCAUCGUACUUCUAUGAAUGGACCUCUUUUCUUUCCCCAAA